ACUUGGACAGCAGUCAGUUAGAUCAGGGGGAGUCAAGGCUGAAGUCAAAUAGCAUCAGGAAUUGAGAGAUGGAAGCUUUAGGCCCAGGUUUUGCUGUUUGAAAGGAAGCUUGGCACAAUAUCCAUUGUCUUCUCCAUUUGUGAAACACCGAGCAGAGUCUGGGUAGGCUGAUGAUGCAGAGCAAAACCUGCAAAUAUACUGAUGAUCCUGAGCCUGGAGGAUGCAGCUAAACCCAGCCAAAAAUAAUUUCUGGAAAGUCAAGCCUGGUUUACAUUUUUUGAGUUUGGCUAUGCCAACUUCACCAGUCAUUUAUAAAAAAGCAAACAAAAAACUCAAACCAAAACAGACAAAAACCCAAACAAACAAACCCAUGCAAACCAAUCAAACAAAAAGAUUAAAAAACCCAAAUAAAACCAAAGGGAAUGAGAAGUUAGUGUUAGUUGUGAGGCUAUCACAGCAGGCAAAAGGCUGCUUCCCACAGGAUCACAAGCUAACCACAAGCUAAAGACACAGGAUGAAACUUGGCAAGAAACAGGGACCAAAACUUGCAGAAAUGAAGGGCAGAGCUCGCUAAAACCAGUGAGGAAAUUGCUGAAACUGCCAACAAGAGACUGCACAUGCCUAGAAGAGAAAGGUGAAAAGGGCACGGCGAUGAAGGCAUCCAGCCUUCACCAGAGGACCACAGAGGAAGAUGCGGAACCUUCCUCAGUGCCACCUCCAGCGUGCACUGUGCCUGUGCCUCGUGUAUGCUGAUGAUUGUAAUGAGUACUGAGAAAUACUUUGCAUAGCCACACCUUUUCUAGGGAAACCAUGAAUAUGCAUAAAGUAUAACCAGAUAUUGUAAUCUGCUGUGUGCCUGAGUGUGUGUUAGGAGGAGAUAUCCCCGCGCACCCGGUGCACUGAGUAAAGCAAAUCCCCACUCCUUGGAUUUGGUCUCGGAAGUGUCUCUUGGCCCGGUUUGGGGCCAUUCCUGUGCAUGGGGUUCUGUCAAGUCACAGUGGAACCUUGGUGCCACAUUGUUCCACGGCCUCACAAUGCUCUCCUGGCUGCCAUGAGGUCCCUCCCGCUGUGACACCCUGCAGCCCUGGUUCCAUGAGGGUCUCUUGGGUUCCACGGUGCACACCUUUUUCACAUCUGAGCCUUGCUUCCAUGGGUUCCAUGGACUGACAAUGGCUGUCUGCAUUCCAUGGGCCCAGCUAGAUCACAGCAGAGCCUGGCUUUCAUCAGGUUCCGAUACCUGUUCUGCCAGCUGAUGGGGGAUUUAAAGAACACAGAAACCAAUGGAAGGAACGGUCUUAUUUUACUGAGAGAAAGAACAGGGAUUGAGAAAGAUACAUCCUCAAUUGCCUAAAUACUGUACCAUCAUCCAGAGCCCUCAGUCGCUGAGGAGCCCCGUUUCACAGCAAGGACCUGGAGAACCCUUCCAAGCAACUGGGAAAAGCAAACCUGUUGCAUCCACCCGUAGGUGAGGUCUCUGAAUUUGCUCCAAAAGUGGGUCCAGCUUUUAUGGGCCCAAAUCAGCAAGUCAAAGUGACUUGAUGAUAUUUUUAGCACAUGAAUUCCUGGGUCUCAUGGCACUUUUGCUGACCAGGAGAGCCCAGGCAUUGGCCAGAGCCCAGUCCCUGGCUUGGAGGGUUUCCCUUAAAAUAUUCUACAAGCCUCCAGUCAUGUCAGUUGGGAACAUUUCUUAAAAUGAUACAUUUCUUGCAGGUAACUGCACAAGAUUAUGUGACAGUUUCUAAAGCAGCCGGUUUGGUGUUAAAUAGCUGGAAUAAGCAUCUGGGUCAUCCA